UGAGAGGGCGACCGGCCACACUGGGACUGAGACACGGCCCAGACUCCUACGGGAGGCAGCAGUGGGGAAUAUUGCACAAUGGGCGCAAGCCUGAUGCAGCGACGCCGCGUGAGGGAUGACGGCCUUCGGGUUGUAAACCUCUUUCAGCAGGGAAGAAGCGAAAGUGACGGUACCUGCAGAAGAAGCGCCGGCUAACUACGUGCCAGCAGCCGCGGUAAU
rnacentral:rRNA from 1 species